UUGCUUCAGCAGCACAUAUUCUAAAACAGGAAUGAUACAGAGAAGAUUAACAUGGCUCCUUCACAAGAAUAAGACACAAAUUCAUGAAGCAGUCCAUGUUUUA